UACGGAGGUGGCAAGCGUUGUUCGGAAUUACUGGGUGUAAAGGGCAUGUAGGUGUCCCUGCAAGUCUCGGUUGAAAUCCUUCGGCUCAACCGGAGAACUGGUCGAGAAACUGCAGGGAUUGAGGGCAGAAGAGGAGAGUGGAAUUCCCGGUGUAAGGGUGAAAUCUGUAGAUAUCGGGAGGAACACCAGUGGCGAAGGCGACUCUCUGGUCUGCAACUGACACUGAAAUGCGAAAGCUAAGGGAGCAAACAGGAUUAGAUACCCUCGUA
rnacentral:rRNA from 1 species